rnacentral:rRNA from 1 species
UACAGAGGGGGCAAGCGUUGUUCGGAAUUACUGGGCGUAAAGGGCGCGUAGGCGGCCUUCUAAGUCGAACGUGAAAUCCCUGGGCUCAACCCAGGAACUGCGUCCGAUACUGGAAGGCUUGAAUCCGGGAGAGGGAUGCGGAAUUCCAGGUGUAGCGGUGAAAUGCGUAGAUAUUGGGAGGAACACCGGUGGCGAAGGCGGCCCCCUGGACCGGUACUGACGCUGAGGCGCGAAAGCGUGGGUAGCAAACGGG